rnacentral:rRNA from 1 species
AGAAACACUGCGGCGUGCCUACACAUGCAAGUCCAGCGAGAAAUUGCAGAUUGGAACUUCGGUCGAAAGAAGCGAUGGACAGCGGCGGACGGGUGAGUAACGCGUAGGUAACCUACCUUGAGCUGAGGGAUAGCCUAGGGAAACCUGGAUUAAUACCACAUAAUGCGGAGGGGUCACAUGGCCUUUCAGCCAAAGAUUUAUCGGCCCAAGAUGGACCUGCGUCUGAUUAGAUAGUUGGUGAGGUAACGGCCCACCAAGUCGACGAUCAGUAGCCGAUCUGAGAGGAUAAUCGGCCACAUUGGAACUGAGACAUGGUCCAAACUCCUACGGGAGGCAGCAGUGGGGAAUAUUGCACAAUGGGCGCAAGCCUGAUGCAGCAACGCCGCGUGAGCGAAGAAGGUCUUCGGAUCGUAAAGCUCUGCCCUUGGGGAAGAAGAAAGUGACGGUACCCGAGGAGGAAGCCCCGGCUAACUACGUGCCAGCAGCCGCGGUAAU